rnacentral:rRNA from 1 species
CCGGAGAAUGUUAUCACGGGAGACACACGGCGGGUGCUAACGUCCGUCGUGAAGAGGGAAACAACCCAGACCGCCAGCUAAGGUCCCAAAGUCAUGGUUAAGUGGGAAACGAUGUGGGAAGGCCCAGACAGCCAGGAUGUUGGCUUAGAAGCAGCCAUCAUUUAAAGAAAGCGUAAUAGCUCACUGGUCGAGUCGGCCUGCGCGGAAGAUGUAACGGGGCUAAACCAUGCACCGAAGCUGCGGCAGCGACGCUUAUGCGUUGUUGGGUAGGGGAGCGUUCUGUAAGCCUGCGAAGGUGUGCUGUGAGGCAUGCUGGAGGUAUCAGAAGUGCGAAUGCUGACAUAAGUAACGAUAAAGCGGGUGAAAAGCCCGCUCGCCGGAAGACCAAGGGUUCCUGUCCAACGUUAAUCGGGGCAGGGUGAGUCGACCCCUAAGGCGAGGCCGAAAGGCGUAGUCGAUGGGAAACAGGUUAAU